CGGAGCGGCGUCAUCCUGCAGAUCUAGCGAGGAGCAGGCGCGCCUUCCGAGGCGCUCGCUCCUUCGGUUAGCGACCUGGGCCGGGGAGGAAACAAGGUGCACCCCAGCUUUGCAGUCGGGGGACGGCCCGUGUCUGUGCAAAGGAGGGACGGGCCGCUCCUGGAACCGCCGCGCAGAGGUCGGGCGGCCUUACUCAAGCAGCCCCACGCCCGGCCAGCCUGCUGUGCUACUUGGAAACGCGCUUUCUUUGUGUUUCUUUCUUUAGUCGCUGUUACCCAUCUGUGGAUAUUAUGGGGGGAAAAGGAAAAGAAAACCGCCGCUUCCUAUUCAUUGUCUGUCGUCAUCACUGGCUUCACAGCCGCCAGCGCUGGGGAGCUGGCAAGUUUGAGGAAUUCCCGAGAUACUGCCCAGAGUGUUUCACGAGAGAAGUCAGCCGCUGCGGACGAGCCAGAUUACCCAGACCCGCUUCCUUUUAGGUUCCCCUCCUGCAGAGAGAAAGAGAGUGAGCAGGGGAGAAGCAGAGGGAGAGGGAGACAAUCUCCAGCCGACUUUGCACUGAGCGCUGAGCGCAGAGUGUGAUGUGGACGGAUUCCCGGACACUGAGACUGUGACCUGAGCUGAAAACAGGAGUCUGACACUUAACCGAAAUGUGCC
rnacentral:lncRNA from 1 species